GGCUUUGUGGUGCAGUGGGUAGCACGGUCAUCUCACAACAAGAAGGCCGGGGGUUCGAAUCUCGGUUUGGGGCCU
rnacentral:tRNA from 1 species